AAUUUCAAAGAUGAAGAGGGACAACUUGCUCAAGAACAGAGAAUCAUUGGUUUUGAGUAAAUAUAUAGGAAUUAGCACAAAUGGAGAUAAAACAAGAAAUGGUACACCCGAGUGGACUCGAACCACCGACCCCUACCA
rnacentral:antisense_RNA from 16 species